rnacentral:rRNA from 1 species
AGAGUUUGAUCCUGGCUCAGGAUGAACGCUGGCGGCGUGCCUAACACAUGCAAGUCGAACGGGGUUAUUUUGGAAAAUCCUUCGGGAUUGGAAUUCUUAACCUAGUGGCGGACGGGUGAGUAACGCGUGAGCAAUUUGCCUUUAAGAGGGGGAUAACAGUCGGAAACGGCUGCUAAUACCGCAUAAAGCAUCAAAUUCGCAUGUUUUGAUGCCAAAGGAGCAAUCCGCUUUUAGAUGAGCUCGCGUCUGAUUAGCUGGUUGGCGGGGUAACGGCCCACCAAGGCGACGAUCAGUAGCCGGACUGAGAGGUUGAACGGCCACAUUGGGACUGAGACACGGCCCAGACUCCGUACGGGAGGCA